rnacentral:lncRNA from 1 species
UUAUGAUGCUUACACCGACCGUGCUCUACCAUGACCACAACAACCGCCAUGUUGAAAAGAAAAACAUUUUAGUUGCGUAUCUUCUCAUGAUCGGCUGAAACCUCUAUGGCUCAAACAAUAAUAAUCAUAUAGCAAGAAAUUUAAAUUAUGUCAAAUAAAAGUGAAAUAAAAUUGUUACCUCACAUAGAUAGCGUAUUAUUUAUUAAUAGCGAGAAACUUCACAAAUACGAAACUGUGGAAACGUGACGGCGUAGUUCGGCAGCCAUAUUAACAGCGAGCUGUUCGAGCGAGGCAUGGAGCGAAGCGUGCGCGGUUGUGAAGAUUUUUCUAGAGGAACCUGUGGUGUCAUUGCCUGCGUAACCUCAUUUAAGUAGUAUUAGUGUUGGACAUUUUCACCCUUGGAAGACGGCAUGAUUACAGGCCAAUGGAUGGCACCUGCUUUUAACACCGACUACGCGGCUUUGUGGACCCAUCGUGUGUGGAAUGACGUGCGCACUUUUCCCUGCUCUUGAUUCUGCCAUUUGGAGAUGGUGAUGUGCAAGAGUUACGAAAUGUGUAAACGUGUGCAAGGUCAUCAAGGGAGCAUUCAAGACGUUUCAUCGCUAAACACAAGCUCAAGUGUUCUAAUAAAUGUCAAAUUUCAACACCAA